rnacentral:rRNA from 1 species
UACGUAGGGUGCAAGCGUUAAUCGGAAUUACUGGGCGUAAAGCGUGCGCAGGCGGUGAUGUAAGACAGGUGUGAAAUCCCCGGGCUUAACCUGGGAACUGCAUUUGUGACUGCAUGGCUGGAGUGCGGCAGAGGGGGGAUGGAAUUCCGCGUGUAGCAGUGAAAUGCGUAGAUAUGCGGAGGAACACCGAUGGCGAAGGCAAUCCCC